AACGAACGCUGGCGGCAGGCUUAACACAUGCAAGUCGAACGCCCCGCAAGGGGAGUGGCAGACGGGUGAGUACCGCGUGGGAACAUACCCUUUUCUACGGAAUAGCUCUGGGAAACUGGAAUUAAUACCGUAUACGCCCUACGGGGGAAAGGUUUAUCGGGGAAGGAUUGGCCCGCGUUGGAUUAGCUAGUUGGUGGGGUAAAGGCCAACCAAGGCGACGAUCCAUAGCUGGUCUGAGAGGAUGAUCAGCCACAUUGGGACUGGGACACGGCCCAAACUCCUACGGGAGGCAGCAGUGGGGAAUAUUGGACAAUGGGCGCAAGCCUGAUCCAGCCAUGCCGCGUGAGUGAUGAAGGCCUUAGGGUUGUAAAGCUCUUUCACCGAUGAAGAUAAUGACGGUAGUCGGAGAAGAAGCCCCGGCUAACUUCGUG
rnacentral:rRNA from 1 species